rnacentral:lncRNA from 1 species
UUGGCCAUGCUGAUCUUGAACUCCUGGCCUUAAGCGAUCCUCCUGCCUCUGCCUCCCAAAGUGCUGGGAUUAUAGGUGUGAGCCACUGUACCCAGCCUAAAUGAGUGAGUCUUUAACCUUCCUUCUAGUUGGCUUGAGUAGAACUCCAAGGAAUAUGAAAGUCAAUUCUCCUUCUAAUAGAUGGUAAAUGAAACCCUUUGGAUUUGAAUAAAGAGAAUGGUUCCCUCUCUCUCUCUCACACUCUUUCUCUCUUUCUUUCUCUUGCCCUCGCUCUCUCUUGCUCUCUCCUGCUCUCUCUCUCUCUCAUCCUCCCAGGAAGAGCCAGAUUAGACUUAUUGGAAGACUGUGCCUUGGUGAUUCAUACAACUUUCUGGGAUCUUUUGAUUAACGGAGAAAAAGUCAUAAGAUCAGCAAGAAGAGAAACUAGAUUUUUGCCUCAACUCAACAUGUUAAGUAAUCACCUGACAUCUGCAUAAGACCACCUCUUGGCACCUGGCUACACAAGCUGAAAUGGUUGUCUUUGGAAGAAGAAUAGACAUUCAUGGCAGACCAAAGAUCACUCUCUGAAGGUAGGACCAUGUUUUUAUAUCCCCUUCAGCACCCAACGUGGUGCCUCACAUGAGGAAAAUGCUCAAAAUAAUGGUUAAUUACACAUUUUGAGAUUCAUACAUCCUGGAAGAGCAUCUUUCAACUUUUAAAGGGUAUUCCCCCUUUUGAUAAACAUGUACUCACAUUGCUGACUAUAGAAUCCCAGAUUCUGAUCCAGGACCUUUCACCUAUCUAUGCCUCCAUUUAUGAUUACCUGCUCUAGAAGUUGAAUGAAUAGAAAAGGAAAUGAGCAUUUGUUUGUUGAAAACUAUCAAGCUCCAGG